ensembl:snRNA U6 U6 spliceosomal RNA
UUGUUUUGGCAACACACGUACAAACACUGGAACAAUACAGAGGCAUGGCCCCUACAAGGAUGACACCCAAAGGCAUGAAGAAUUCCAUAUUAAA